GUGUUUUCGAACCCUUAUCAUUCUUUCGCCGCACUGUUAUUUUAAGCAUAAGUGGACGGAGAACUGAUAAAGGGCUCAAAACGUC
rnacentral:pre_miRNA from 1 species